rnacentral:lncRNA from 1 species
GGCCGCUGUCGCAGGGGAACCCCUAUCCCCGGAGGAAUUGCUCCCAAAAGGCGACGUGGAGAAGACUAAGGAGGAGUUGGAGGAGGACGACGAGGAGAAGCUAGAUGAGACCUGGUCGGAGAGACUAUGGGGCCUGAUGGAGAUGUUUCCGAAGAGGGUCCGGUCUGCGGCCAGAACCUCUUCUUUCUCUCCCUCUUUGUGGCUCACAAAAUGUACAGGUUUCCCAGGGCAGCCGUGUGGAUUGGGACCACUUCCUUUAUGAUCCUGGUUCUUCCCGUUGUCUUUGAGACUGAGAAGAUGCAAACCGAGCAACAGCAGCAACUGCAGCAGCAGCAGAUACUUCUAGGGCCUAACACAGGGCUCUCAGGAAGAAUGCAAGGGGCUCUUCCUUCACUUCCUGGAAAGAUCU